CGGCUGACGCUCGGAAGGUCCUCUUUGAGGAGCUUCUAUGGGAGCACCGGGAUCUUGCUGAGGCACAUGACAAGUGCCAAAUCAUCCCGGAUGCUUCCAUUGAGGCCCUCAAGGAGCAGCUCGCCGCCGCCCAACGGGAGAAGGAGCUGGGCGCUGAUACGUCUCCAACGUAUCGAUAAUUUCUUAUGUUCCAUGCCACAUUAUUGAUGUUAUCUACAUGUUUUAUGCACACUUUAUGUCAUAUUCGUGCAUUUUCUGGAACUAACCUAUUAACAAGAUGCCGAA